AUUGAACGCUGGCGGCAGGCCUAACACAUGCAAGUCGAGCGAGCGGCGGACGGGUGAGUAAUGUCUGGGAAACUGCCUGAUGGCGGGGGAUAACUACUGGAAACGGUAGCUAAUACCGCAUACCAUCAGAUGUGCGCAGAUGGGAUUAGCUAGUGGGUGGGGUAACGGCUCACCUAGGCGACGAUCCCUAGCUGGUCUUGGAGGAUGACCAGCCACAACGGAAAUGAGACACGGUCCAGACUCCUACGGGAGGCAGCAGUGGGGAAUAUUGCACAAUGGGCGCAAGCCUGAUGCAGCCAUUCCGCGGGUGUGAAGAAGGCCUUAUGGUUGUAAAGCACUUUAAGCGAGGAGGCGUUACUCGCAGAAUAAGCACCGGCUAACUCUGUGCCAGCCGCCGCGGUAAUUC
rnacentral:rRNA from 1 species